CCGCCUGGUUCCGCGACCACUGGUUCCACGAGCACCAGCAGCUCGACGAGAUGGCCGACUCCCUCGCCCUCCACGACGCCGCCGCCGACGACGACGACCUCGCCGGCCUCCUCCCCGACGACGCCUUCGACGACGACGACGACGACGACCUCUUCUUCGACCAGACCCAUAACCUCCUCGUCGAUCCCCCGCAGCCGCCCGCCGCUCUCAAGACUGGUACCGACUGACUCACUCGCUUGCUCGCUUUGUUGAUCAUCAAAAGAUCGAGUCUAAAACGAGAAUUGCAGUGAAAUUCAUCGCCAUGUCUCCCAUGUGUGUGUGCAGAUGCGGUGCUCAAGGCGCUGAGCCUGGUGUCUCCCAAGGGCGGCGACGCGCCGCGGGGGCUCCGGGAGAAGCCCCGGCACUCCGAGAAGCCCACCAAGUACGCCGGCAGCCCGAGGAGCGGCGGCGCUCCCCGCGUCAUCCACCAGCCUCGCUAGGCUGCGAUGGCUAGGAUGGCAAAAACUAAAGGAUGUAGCAAAAGCAUUGCGUCUUUGCGCCGCGGUGUUUUGCUUUGCUUCCUUCCUCCCGGCUGCUGCUGCUGGUGUGGUCUACUCAAAGUCUGGGUUUGUCCCUAGAGUUUAUCUAGGAAUUUAGUUGUGUCCUUUUGUAUAGUAUAAACCAAAAUGACCCUAAAAAAAGUAUGAACAAAAUGCAACCUUUGUUCAGUGUUGCCUUGUAAGUUUAAUGUUCAUCUAGAGUUCGUCUAGGAAAAUUCCAAAAAGAAGAAGUGGAAGAAGAAUGUAGUAGUGUGCACUCCUGUUAAUGUUCUGAUGAUGUGCAAUAGCAAGCAGCCUAAUGUUGAAUAUUCAGACUUUUCUCAGCUGUGUGUUGUUUGUUGUCUAGUGCCACUGAUCUCCUGUGAUGAACUGCUGCUUGAUCACUGCCUCGGUUCUUCUUUGGGACUGAAAUCUGCAAGCAAUUCAUCACCACGUCUUAUGAUGAUCUUGCUCGCUUUGAAAUCUGAAUCUGUCUUCAGUUCUAAAAAAGAGUGGGGUAGAAACGAAGAUCUCCGUUUGGAACUUUUUUUCCCCACUUACAAUUCUUGGGGUGCUGAACUGAGGUUCUGGAGUUUUGGCUGUUCCAAAAACUUGGCAUGUGGCAAUUUAUAGCAAACAGAAACUAUUUCUAUAGCUCAAUCAUUGCAAUUUGUACUAUAUUUGUACAUCAUGAUGUACUCUCAACUCCAAUAAUUCAUGGAACAUGGCAGCUGGAGAUUUACACUGUAACUGUAAUGUGCAGAUGGCUACAUCAAGCAGACAAGGGCAUUGGCAUCAGAAAUUCUAAAUACUUGCCUUGCACACUUAUACUAAGCCCACUACAGCAGUAGGCAGAUCAGAAUUCAACACUAGUAACCUAUGCUGUGUUUGUAAGAGGUGUUUGUAAGAGCAAGUUCCUAACACUCCCCUCUCAUUUUUCAUGCGCACGCUUUUCAAACUGCUCAACAGUGUGUUUUUUUGCAAAAAGUUUCUAUACGAAAGUUGUUUAAAAAAAUCAUAUUGAUUCAUUUUUGAAAAAAAAUUAGCUAAUACUUAAUUUAUCACGCGCUAAUAGACUACUCCGUUUUUCAUAAGCACUAUGCAUGUUCCCAUCCAACCGUAACAAACACAGCACUAGUAGAGCAAAGAACCAAAGGAUUCGUGAGCAUCACUGCUUGUCAGGAAACACCAGGCAACAACUGUUUCCGGCUUUCAGCCAGUUAUGUUUGAAAGUACUAUUGCUUUUUGAUGUUUUUUUUUUUCAUUGAAGAGCGCAUGGAGCCAAGAACUCAUGGAGGGAGCUGGACGUGGGAGCCUCCCUACAUGCUAAUGACCAUGUCCCUCUGACUUUAUGUCAAAGGAGUCUCUUCCGAAAUAUUGUACGCUCUGAAUCUUGGUUAUCAGAUAGGUAAAAAUUGCAUAAACCACCCUAAUUUUACUUCUAUUUUGAUAUUUUAUUCUAUUUUUCAGAUAAUGGAAUAAAUAUCCUGGCCUUUACUCAACAGAGUUACAGCCAAUUAUUACAGAAUACCACUCAUAUAAAGAGUGUAGUUCAAAUGUAAUCAAACACACUCAACAAAAUAAAAGGCAAACCAAGAUGAGGAGGACACAUUUAUUAAGUCUAUUUGUGAAUCUCCAUCUAUAGUUUGUAAAGAGUUGCAUCACCGUCGUCUCAAGUUUGCGACAUGCAACCUUCAUAAGCUCUCUAUCAUCUUCACACUUUUACAGCUGCGCCUAAAACCAAAGCCAAUAUGUUACCUUAAAUAUUACCUACAUAUAUGAGAUAUAUGGUGAUUUGUUAAAAACUAAAUCGUUUCUACUCAACCACAGGGCCUAACAUAUGGUAGAUGCUCCUACAAGUAUGAGUUUACACUUCUUGUCAACCCCCAUAAGCCACCCAUCAAACAUAUUAGAUAUGGUACUUGGAAGGUAUAAACCAAAAGAGAACUGUACUGCUCUCCAAACAAAUCUUUGUAUAAUGACAGUCAAGAAAAAGAUGUUGAAUGAUCUCAUUUUUCAUACAGAAACAAAAUCUUAAACUACCAUUCCAAUUUCGUCUUGCCAACUUAUUCUUAGUUAGCACAACCCCUUUAAGCAAGUACCACAUAAAGAUCUUAAUCUUAAGUGGUAUCUUAAGCUUCUAAAUAAUCUUAUUUCAUUCAAUAUAUCCAUUAUUAAUUAAAGCUAUAUACAUUGACCUAACAGAAAAUCUACCAUUCUGAUGAUAAUUCUAUCUAAAACAAUCAGAGGAAUGGUUCAACUGAAUAUGUAUGAUAGAAGCACACAAUUCAUGCCAAUAUAUAAGAUUCUGAAUAUUUUAUUCUAUAACCUAUUUUGAUGAAAAAUCCACUUACCCAAUAUAUGUGAGUAGUUGAUUCGGACAAUUUCCUCCGAUGUGGAUUUAUAGGGACCGUACCAAGUAGGUUGGACUCGUCCAACGUGGUUAUGAGGUGAGUUCGACUCGAGUUUGUGCUUAGACUGCUCAAAGUAGUAAGAUGACUAUAAAUGAUGAGAGAGCCGAGCGCGGAGGCGAUAAGAAUCGGUGAUUGGCAAUAAAUCCACAUUAGAAGAUAUGGACAUAUUCAAUUACUUAUGUGCACGGAGGGGUCAAUUUUGAUGUGAAACCAUAUCAUGUGGGUAGGCUUUUACAACAAAAUAGGUUAUGGGGUAAAAACUCAAAACCAGAGUAAUUAGGGUGGUUUAUACAAUUUUAUCUAUUCAAUAAUAAUUUGUAAAGAACCACAACAUUUGUAAUUUCUCUAGCUCAAAAUCAAGCUAUAACCUAUGUCCAAAUUUAUAUUAUAUACAUUAGUUUAUUUUUAGUACGGAGGAAGUGGUAUACACUAUAACUACCUACAGAACUGACAUUUUCCACGGAUUACCAGAAGUCAGUAAUCUCAAGUUCACAUGAUGAACAUACAUCGACAAGAAUAUGCCCAAGCCCAACUGCGAGUUUGCGACAUGCUGUCAUGAUACAGUGAUACACAACAGGUCAACAUCUGCUGUAGUUUGUCCCCCGUCGGUCCAUGGCCUAAUUCAGGCGAAUUCUUGAAUGUCACAAACUUCUGCUGAUUAGAACCUGUUGCCGCUUGAUGUGUGAUGACCCCAAUAAUUGAGCAUAAUAUACCCGACCGGCGACAGCCAUCCUCAUAGUAGUUGAAUACUGACAUCGGAUGAUUCAGAGUGGGGUGUGUUUGAGAGGAGAGAAAUAAAACGAUUGAAAAGAUACGUAAGCUAUUAGCAGAUGAUUAAUUAAAUAUUAAUUAUAUAAACUUGAAAAAUAAUUAAUAUUAUGUUUUAAAUCAACUUUUCUUUUAGCAAUUCGGCAAAAGUACGUACGCGUGGAAAUGAGAGACUUUGUUUUUCAAUCCACUACUAAUAACACACCACGUCCUUAGAAGCAUAGAAAUAAGAUUUCAUCGGAUGAGCACUAAAGGACUAAUACUAUCUCUAUAGGCUCCGUGGCUCCGUCUAUGUAUAUCAUAUAGCAACAUAGUAUCCGUAGUUUUAGAUGUGUUUUAUCUAAUAUUAGAUUACUAUAAUAUUAUAGAAUAUGUAGUUCUAAUAUAUAUUCCAUUAAAGUAUUAGGUUGCUACUUUCAAGUAACAUUUACGGAACACUUGAACAUUAUGGGACAGAUGAGUAGCAUUUUCAAGGAACAUCUUGUGUCUUCCGGGGCUUGAAAAUCCUCCAUGCUCAGUUUCUUUCUCAGCUUGAUCUAUCAGAUCGAUGGUGAUAGAAUGACAGUGGUGAUGAAAUCACAGCUCCUGCAAUGUUACACCUCUUCUUUCUCAUUCUCUCUUCCUAGAUAAUUUGGAUCAUAAUCAAUGGUGGCGAUCUUAUUGGUUCAAUUGAAAAAUUUUGGAUCGCUAAUAACGAUAGAUAUUAUCGGGUUUGGAUCACUACGAACAGUGCAGAUUUAUUGGGACGACUAGAAUUUGGGUCGCUAUGAAUGGUAGCAAACCAAAUUAGGCCCACCGAAGUUUGGUUCGCUACUAAUGGGUGCGACCAGACUGGCCUAUGAAAACUCAUGAGGGGAUAACUACAAAUCUCUUCCAAUCCCGCAGGGUAUAACCGCACAAUUCGGAAUAGUUCCCAUAGUUUUAAGGGUUAAUUGGAACCAUCCCAUUAUAAAUUUUACAUUUUUCAAAUAUACCAUUACUAUUCACAUAGUUGUAACCAUAUCAUUAUAAUUUCACAAGUAUUGGAGCAAUGUCACUGAAGACCCCUUUCAUCGUUUUCACUAAUUUUAAGACCAAACUACCCUUUAUUCCUUCACCCCCUCAUUUGCUCAACCAAUGGCGAGGCGGCACCAGCGACAAAGUCAUCGAAGGCCGGUUGGAAUGCCUCUGACACCUCGGGGAAGUCCAUGAUGCGACUGUGUGGGAUACUUCUGAGGACUCGCAGCCCCACGGUAUGUUGUAGUCAGCUGGCACGAACGAGAAUUCAUGGAAUCCAAGAAAAGAGACACGUGUUGCCUGGGAGGCUUGCAUGUUCUAGCUAGUUGUUGCCGCCAUUACUGCUUGAGAUGAGCAUCUGCUCACUCCAAGUCUCGAACGAGAAUUCAUGGAAUCCAAGAAAAGAGACACGUGUUGCCUGGGAGGCUUGCAUGUUCUAGCUAGUUGUUGCCGCCAUUACUGCUUGAGAUGAGCAUCUGCUCACUCCAAGUCUCAAUGUGACAACACAACCGUGUGAUAGACAUCACUCCAUUUGGCAGCGAUCAAAUCCCGUGGCAAGCAGCAUGUCCCGACUGGGUGGCCUGCCCCUCUCCAGCUCCUUCUCAGCGACGUGUGGCAUCUUGCUCCAGAUCUUCUAACAGCGUGGGUGGUUGGUCGACUACACACGCUCGUCGGAGUUAUUGGCUGGGAGAGAGGGGAAAGGAAGAAGGGAUAAAGGUAGAAGACAUGGCGUCUAAAAAGAUUGAUAAAUGGAGCGAAUGGGUAUGAAGUGGUGUUUUUUCAAUAUACUUGUAAAAUUAUAAUGGUAUAGUUGCAAAUAGGUGAAUACUAACGAUAUGCAAUACGCUAAAAUUUAUAAUAACGUGGAUUCAAUUAUCCCUAGUUUUAAGGGUAUAAGUGCAAAUUGAGUAGAGACGAGCAAGAUCAAUCACGCGGCUUGCACGUGAUCUCUUGUAACCUAGCUGCCCCUUCCGCUGCUGGCCGUCACGAAGGCGGCGGCGGCUUCCUUCCUCGUCUCCCCACAAGAGAGAGAGAGAGAGAGAGAGAGAGAGCGAGCCAGCGAACUUCGUAGCCAUGGCGUGGGAGGAGGAGGCGGCGGUGGAAGAGGAGUACGAGUACGGGGAGGAGAUGGAGGGGUCGGGGUCGGAGGCGGAGGACGUGGUGGUGGGGCAGAUGCCGACGGUGAUGGUGCCCAAGCACAUCAACAAACGCGCCCUCAAGAACAAGGCCCUCUCCGUCUCCCUCGACAAGAAAGCCCUCAAGUCCGUCCUCUAAUCUUUUCUUUGAUUCGUAGCGAUAUUUUCGGCCCCUCGGUGGAGUAGUUUUCUGAUGAGAGUAGCGCGAAGAGGUUUUUUAACGAAUCGUGUGUAAUUUUUUUUUUUGGAAUGCUAGGGAUUUCGUGACCGGAUUUCACAAGAGGAAGAAGAAGAGGAGAAAGGAGGCGCAGAAGAUUUUGCAGGAGAAGGAGAGAAAGAAGCGAAUCGAGGAGCGCAAGCGGGUGAGUAACCUCCCCUUGUUUUGGAUGUGGAAGAUAAUAUUGGAUUACUUCUGAUCAAAGGCAAAAUUAUCCCGGAGAAGAUUGGUUGCGCAUUGAGUACUUCUUUGUGAGAUCACUUAUUACCACCGAGCUGACUGUAGGAUCCUUAUCGGUGAAUGGCAGUUUAUGCAAAUUAGAAAUUUAGAAUGCGCUUUUUUAUGAUUCCAACAGUAGGAAGUUUAGGAAAAUCAUCACUGAAAAGAAUAUAAAGCUGAAUAGAUGUACUUCUUAUUGAAACAUUGAUUCACUUAUGUUAGGUUCAUGCUACUAAUAAUACAUACAUUGCUAUUGUAGUAGCAAUGAUAAGGGAAUCGUGAAGAUUCGUCAGGAUUAGUGUAUUGAAAUUGAAAGAAAGGUGCUUGCAAGAUUAGCGUAUUGAAACUGAAAGGAAGGUGCUUGCAAUUACUUGCAGCACAUAAGGGCCUGUGCAGAUAGAUGCUUAGGCAGAUGCUUAAAGAGAGCAUUUUCUUAAGAGCCUUAAUCUCCAACGCAAUAGCUAACUUUGGGCAGUACUUUCUUUGGCAAAACCGUUUAUAUCUGUUAUUUCAGUUGAGGUGUCGACUGCUAGACUUGGCAGCCAGCCGUUUCUGAAAUAGUCAGCAUAGCAGCAAAAGCAGUUAAUUUCACCCGUAGCGCCUAGCUUAGCGGCUGUUUGUAACGCAGUCUUCACAGCUGAAUUAUGUGUGGGUACCUGCUUUCUGUUAUGGGUACAUAAUUCUCAUUUUUUCGUAUGAAAAAGUAUCAUCAAACCCAGAUCUUCUUGGAUUAGAAAACGGACUAGACCAAGAGAGAAUUGUAGGGAUGACACUGGAGGGGCAAGGCUUUAGUGUCGUUUCAAGUGGAUUAUGCUUAAGUGUGUUUACUGUGGCUGAUUUAUAACAUGAACUAUACAAUCCAGAUUACUUCCUUGUGGUUUUACUGAGUGAUGUCAUUUUGUUCCAGAGAAAGCAAGAGAAAGAAAUUGCGCUGUAUGGAAGAGUCCUGUCAUCAGAUAAUGCUGAUGGUGAAGAUGUUGAGAAUGAUGGUGAUGAAAUGGAAACUGAUGAUUUGCCUGAACCUGGUGAGACCAUUGACCAGAUUUUAGUAACAGCUCUUGCCAUGCUACCUUUGUACAACCAUGACUUCUUAUCCUAUUAUUCAUAAGUUGUUCUGUUUAUGUAGAAGUAAAAACAUACGAAGAUGGUGGGACUAAAAUUACGGUCACCACGAGCGAAAUCACUCCUGAAGAUGACGAUGAAGACCUUGGCCCGAAAAGGAUCACCCCUGCAUCGACGGGCUACGCCAACAAGAGCGUCUCCAAGAAGAGUGCUAGUCUAGGUGUAAAGAAGAAGCCAUCGAAGAGAACCUUCAGGAAUAAGAGUAAAUCUAAGAAGGGCGACCAGAAGCGAGGUGCUGCAAAGGGUAAACGGAAGAACAAAGGGAGGAAGUGAGUGAAUGUUUCUGUAACCACUCUGUAGAAAUGUUUGCACCUUUGGCCAGGGCCAGAGGCCAGAGCUGCCGUUUUUGCCAGACACGAUGAACUUUGUACUCGGUUCCUGAUUCAUCAUCCAAAUGAGGCUAAUCAUGCUCAGCAGCCAAUUGAUUUGUGCCACUGUUGCAAUGCCAUGCUAGAAAAUAGAAAUUCACCUAGCUUCAUGCCUGCCUUCCUGUUACUUGACAUGAAUUUUCCUGGACUGCAAGUGAUCGUUGUAAUUGUGUUGCUUCUGGUUUAUGUUCAAACGUUCCGGUUAAGCCUCAAGCAUAUCCCUUCCAAACUCACCGGGCCAUCGUUUGGUUUAUUAGGUAUAUUUGCAAACGAAAAAUAAUUUGUAAAUAAAACUUUUAUAUACUCCCUCUGUUUCAUAAUGUAAGUCAUUCUAACAUUUUUCACAUUUAUAUUGACUAGCAAAAAUGCCCGUGUGUUGCAACGGGUAAAAAAUAUAAUCCAAUGACAAUAGACAUUUUUCAAGCGCACUCUAUGGAUCGUUGUAGCUAACACAAUUAGAAAAUUAGAGCAUCUUUAUGUAAUUUAUGUAAUGACCCAAACUCGAUGAUGGCAAUCUUUUUACCAAUGCUUGCUUUAACUAAAAUAAUUGGAUUAUUCAUAUAACAACAUACAUAUAAUCUAAAAUAUUCUUUCAAUCUUAUUCUUGCAACCAAUAAUAGGUUAAUCAAAUCCUACAGUCAGGAUCAAGUCUACACAAAAUAGUCACCGUGCACUCUUCUCUAAAUAACAAUUAAAAAUAUGUUUAUUUUUAAUACUAUUUCCAUAUAAUAUGUUAUUAAGAAUAUUAGCUGUACUUAAAAAAAAGUCUGAUAAUGAUAAUUGCAUUCAAAAAGUGCAGGGUCUCCAAUGCAGGAGAUUAGAUGAGGAAACAAAUGAUGUGUAGGAGAUGGAAAAAAAAUCGAUGGAUCUUAUCUGACCCAAGCGUCCAUCACUUUUAUCUCGCUUUGAGUCGGACGGUUUCUCGGAGCGGUUCUUUUAUAAACGGCGGUUUUUUUCUCGCGUUGAGUUGGAUGGUUUCCUCUAACUUUUUUUUUUUUUGGAAAUGAUGGUUUUUUUCUCACGUUAAGCCAGACGGUUUUCUCGAACCUUAUUUUGAAACAACGGUUUUUUUUCGCGCGUUGAGUCCGUUUGUUUUUUUAUCUGUUUUUUUUAUAAACAGUGUUUCAUCUAUUAGUUUUUUCAGAGCGGCUUUUUUUUAUAAACGUUUUUUUUCUUGUGUGGUUUUUUGAAACCUUCUUUUUAGAAAUGGUGUAUUUCUUUCUGAUAGUUUUUAAUAGCAUUUUUUUGUUCUUUUCAGACGAAGGAAACCGUAUUUUUCCCGCGCAUUUUUUUGGAAACUAUUUUUUUCUUGCGUAUUUUUUCCUUUUUAACUGAUGAUGGAAACUUCUCUUUUUAAAAAGUUAGAUUAGAUUGAUAGAUUAGAUUAGAGUUAAAGAGAUAUAUACGGACAACAAGGGGCGACUUUAAGUUUGGUUGGGACGUUUUUUCCUCCUUUUCUUUUUACAUAUUUUGAGUCGAACGUUUUUUUUCCUUUUUUUUAUUACGGACGAGAAAUCCUCUUUUUCAGGAGUCGGACUUUUUUUUCUCUACGGGAGUCGGUUUUUUUUUUCUUUUUUUACGACAGAAGGUUUUUUAGAGAUAGAUAUUUAUUUUUUAGUUAGGUAUUUAUUCGCGCGUGUUUCGGAUAGAAACUUUUUUUUCGCACUAUUUUUUCCUUUUGUAGGAAGAUGGAAACUCUUUUUUCGCUCGGAAUUUUUUUUUAUUUUGGAAUCGGACAGAAACUAUUUUUGCACGCACUUUUUUAUUCGCGCGUAUUUUUCUUUUCUCUGUACGGACGACGGAAAUUUCUUUACCGGUUUUAACUCACUGGGCCAUCGUUUGGUUUAUUAGGUAUAUUUGCAAACGAAAAAUAAUUUGUAAAUAAAACUUUUAUAUACUGCCUCUGUUUAACAAUGUAAGUCAUUUUAACAUUUUUCACAUUUAUAUUGAUGACAUCAAUAUGAAUAUGGGAAAAGUCAUCAAUAUGAAUGUGAGAAAUACUAGAAUGACUUACAUUGUGAAACGGAGGGAGUAUUUUUUCAAGGGUCUAAAAGCAAAUGCUAAAAAAACUUUAUAUAUUUUUAAGGAUCUAAUAGCAAAUGCUAAAAACAAAAAAAAGCAACGGUUAUGUUUGGAGGCUUCAGACGUGCGUGGUGCCACUCCUCCCUCCCUCCUUCCCUCGUGAUCUUCGUUCGUCAUCUCCUUCCCCCUCCCCUCCCCUCCCCUCUCGCGGUCUCGCCUCCGGAAAUGGCGCGCCACCUCCUCUCCACUCCUCUCCUCCGCACCAUUACUUUACUCCCCCUCCUCCUCCUCCGCGUGCGAUCCCUUCGCUUCCGCUCUCGCUUCCCCCCCUCCACUUCCACCCACCUCGUCGUCUCCUCCCCAUCCACCCAUCGAUCGGAUCCUCCUCCGCCACCACCACCGCCACCGCGAGACCUCGCCGUGUGAUGGUCGACGGGUGAAUGCGGCAGCAGAAGGAGGAGCAGCAGCAGCGAGGAGGAGGAGGAGGAGGAGGAAGGGGCAGCAGCAGCAUCGGCAGCAGCGAUGAUGGUCGUCGGGCUGGUCCAGCUGCUGGUGGCGUUCGUCGUCGCCUGGGAGGCCGUCGAGCUGGUCCUCCGCCACGGCCUCCUCCUCUCCUUGUUCAAGUUCGCCCUCGCCGCCGCGCUCGCCGUGGCCGCCUCCUUCGUUGCCGCCCUGUACGUCCCCUCCUCCCCCCACCAAACCCCCGCCUCCUGCUCCGGUUUCAGUUUCAUCGCUCAAUUCCAUAUAUGCUGUCUGAUAUCUCUCUUCAGACUUCAGAGGGGAUGAUCAAUGUACUAUUUCCUUUUUUUUUUCUGAAAAAAAAAAAGAAAUAACUAAGAAUGAAUCUAAUGCUUUCGAUCCUAUUGCAGCUUCCUUGCCAGGGUUGUGGCCUGGGUGCUUCGGCGCACGGCCAAGCUCUCCAUCGGAUGCCGCUCCUUCAGCUUCAAUUAUCUCAGGGACAUCACCAUAAAAUCCCCAAAGGUACCUAAUCUGCCUGCCUAGUUUCAUCAAUCAAUUCUUGGUACUUCAUGCUGCUGUCGAUGCCGAUGCCAAUGCCGAUGUGUGCGAUUGAUUCUCGUGUGCUUCGCUUUUCAGGGUGCAGUUGACUCCAUCUGUGUAGGUGAAAUUAGACUUGGCCUGCGAAGGCCACUCACCCAACUGGGAUUUACCAUACUAAACCAUGGCCCUAUCCUGCAAUUGCAAAUCUCUGACCUGGACAUUGUGCUCAGGCAACCUGCAAAAUCUGCUAAGAAAAAGAAACCUCCCCCUCGCAAAUCAACCUCGACCUCACCGGCAAAAGGAAAAGGAAAGCCGAAAGGACAAGGGAAAUGGAGGCUUAUAACAAACAUUGCCAGUCUUUUGUCGCUUUCUAUAGUGGAGCUGAGGUUCAAGGUACCGCCACCUUGUCAAAUACAUUAUAAAUGUCGAUUAAUUGAAUUCAAGCCGUAUGUCUUCUAAUUUUUAUGUUCUGGUUGUAUGAAUAGGUUCAUGUUGAAAAAUGAUUAUCUAUUUAAUCUAUUUAUUACUGCUGAAUUUUAUGCUCACGUUCCUCUCCCAAUAUAUUCUCAUUUACUGUUUGCAAAUCACGCUGUUUCUCUAGGGACAUGAGGGUUUAACAAGAGUCACAGUGACUUGAAAUUUUGUUGAGUGUUUGUUUGUUUGUCUUGUAUAUUCUGAUGACUAUUUGGUAAUAACUUAUUGUAGGCUCCAAAAGCUGCUCUCGGCAUCAAGGACCUUAAGAUUGAUUUAUCAAAAACUGGAGGAUUGGAUCCAAUUCUCAAUGUUGAAAUACAUAUCUUACCUUUAUUUGUGCAAGCAUUAGAACCAGAUGGCAUUGACAACAGUACAUCAGUAUUUAGCAAAUUGGAUUGGUGGGUCAGUGGACAAUACUGUUCAGCCAUGGACACAGCUGACUGUAGCUCUUUCUUGUUUGAGGAUAUAGUACUCUUGUGUGAUCUUCAUCAGAGGUAACCCCUUAAAAGAAAGCUUUGCAACCUUUAUUGACCAGUGACCAAUCUAUACUAAAAAAAUUCUUAAGAGUAAAAUAUGAGAUUCAUUUAGAUAGAUAAACACUGAUGAAGGCAAUGGUUGCUUUGAUUAAAAAGAGGAAGCGAUUUAUUAUCGCUGUUUCACAUAUGUAUGGGUGCUUGAUGCAACUAUAGGACUGGCAACAUCACCUGUGAUUCAACUUAAGCUUGAUAGUCAUUGCAAUGAUGUUUUCGCCUUAUGAAUAACACUUAGCCGUGCCUUUGAUAUUCCACUUUCCACUCAUACCUGUUGUUCGGAACUUAGAGGUAAGCUUGAAAGGGUAUGUGCAUUUUUAGUCACCUAGUGUUUACUAAAAAUCAGGAUGAUUAAUACCACAAGGCUACACCAUAUUCCAUCAGAUUUAUAUCUAUACAAAGAUUUUUCUGUGCCUAUCUCAAGCUUACCUUAGCCAUUCUUUUCCAGAAAACCCAGUUGAACUGAUUCAAUCAAGUAAACUGUAAUUGCCCUUUUUCCUUGCUAGUUUGCUUCGAAAGAGUAAAAAUUGAAGUAUUAUUUUAAGGGUACUAGUGUAGUGCCCAAAUAUUGCAAAGGAUGGUAAAUAAAUAAACUAUGUGAUCCAAAAGUAGUUUACAUGACCUCAUGAAAUCAAUUGACCCACAUCUGCACAUGUUCGAAGAAUGCCAUUUUUCUUUUGAAAAAAAAGGAGAAUAUUACAUACGACAGGAACAUAUACAUAUACAUGUAUGCAGCCACAGAAGAUCCUAUGGAAUGGGGAUGGGUGUAGAACACACCAGUACCCCAAACUUCUCAUUUCACCAGAGUAAAUAUAUGUUUGCUACUGUAAUACCACCGCCAAUCUGCCUGCUUGCUUUAGCUCAUCUCUUGCACUUACAUAUAUAUCAGCAGCUACCCUAUAUUAGUCCAUUGGGCCUCAAUACAUGACAUUCAUUUGAGUCUCUCCAAUUCUUAUCAUUAUUGAUAAUCCCUUUAGGGGUAAAGGAGUUGGAGUCAAGAAUUUGGAUUUGGUAAUUGGCCCAAUCGUUGUGAACUUGGAAGAAAAACUAUUCACCAAGAAGAAGCUUUCUGCUCCCACAGUUGCUGAGAAGACGGAUGAACCUGCUGCAGAUGUUAAGUCAGAUACUAAAUCUGAAGGGAGCAAACUUUCAUCAUUUAAUAAGAAGAUUGAUUUGCUUCCUGAAAAGGUUGUAUUAAUUUCCUGUAGCACCACAGGUUUUCAUUAUUCUUUUUGUUAUGCUAUUUCCACUCUCCGUACAUAAUUCUCUAUUAUGUUCUUUCUGUUCUUGCCACUUUGUUAACAUGGUCAACAAAUGGAUGUUAACAUAAUGCUAGUGUUCACUUUGUGUAGAUACAACCCUGAGUGAUAUCUUAACCAUGUACUAUUUCUUUAUCUUUCAGAUUAUUUACUGUGUUCUUCACUUGGAGCAAAACUUUAUCAAUGAAAAUAUAACCUCCUCCUUUGGAUAAGCAAACUGGCAUUGCCUAGUCUGUAAAUACUCACACUAACAAUUUUCAAAUGCAAACAUUUUGGUAUUGAUACUUGAUACCAUAUAAGAAUUAAGAUGUAACCCAGACAAUACCAUCGUAGCAAUUGUACUCCAUGGUACACUCAAAUAUUUCGUGUUGAUGGGACUUCAGAAUCUUCUUUAGUAUUUUGUUUUGCCAUUAGAAAUCGUUCCUUAAGGCUUAAUCUUUUAUUUUAAUAUAAGUUCCCUGUUGGAUUACCAUUCACUAAAAUGUAGUUGUUGUUUGGAAGGUUAGCUUCAAUAUGUCCAAGCUAGAUCUGAAGUUUUUGCCAAAGGACCAUGGCCUCUUGAUCAACAAUGAAAUUGGUGGCAUCUCCGUGAGAUUUGUGAAGUCACAACCACACAGUGACUUUGGGGAGGCAACACACCUUCAGCUGGAAACUGAUGUGUCUGAUAUUCAUGUAUGCUUCAAUGUUUUCAUUCGGUUAUAUAAGUUCUUCAAUUUAGAUUUAAAUCACACUGUGGUUGUUUGCUUUUCCAGCUUCUAAUGGAUGGUGCUACGUCUGUAUUAGAGGUUGUGAAAGUUGCAACUGUUGUCUCAGCUAACAUUCCCAUUCAGGUUAGUCUGAUGUCCUAUCAUGUAAAUGUAUACUAUUGUUGACCCAAUAUUUUUCUCAAGAAAUUCCUGUAGGGUCUCAAUUCAAUCUUAGUUGUACUUGCUACAUUUUUCGGAGACCUCCUUAACAAAAAGAUAAGAAUUUUGGUGCAACACAUGCUUUUUUAAUAACUUGAUUGGUUUCAAUUUGCACAGAAGUUACAUCAACCGUGAAAUGCUCAAUGCUCAAUGCUCAACAGAACCUUUUUAAAUUUCUGUUUGAGGUAUUGCUAUCAGAUAGUUCUAUAUUUAAUUAAGGUACAUGAUAGUCUUGAUAUAUUAGCCUCACAUUUAUUGCAUCCAUGCAUAUUCAUGCUCCCGCUCUGAGUGCAUAAAAAGAGGGAAGUCCCAAUAAUUAAGUUUGUUAGGAAGUUGAUUAAACUCAUACUGUUGGCGUCUUUGUCAUAGUGAAAUAUGUUUUGCACCUCUGGUUAUUUGGCAUACAUUUUCUUUAUCUGGUAAUAUCUGCUGAUGCUUUGUCUUCUUUCAGUCAACUUCACCAAUUCGAGCUGAAGCAGGUAUCAAAAUUAGUGGCAGCCAAUGUAAUAUCAUUAUAAGCAGAAUUAAGCCACUGAUUCCAUUAAACUCGGCACAAAAGAAGCCCACUGUUCCUCGUGAAAGUUCAACACAAGAAAAGACACCUAAAGAAAAGUUAGCAUUGGAUUUGGUAUUUACACUCUCAGCACCGGAGCUGACUAUUGUGCUCUACAGUCUUGAUGACAUACCACUGUACCAUGUAAGUUCCUUAUCGUGUACUCUGUUCUACCAUUGAUCAUUGUAUUCUUUAUCCUUGAAUUGAGCCUUUCAGUUGCAUUAAAUUACUGCAGAGGUUAUAGCUUACAUGAAUUCACUCAAUUAUAAAUUUCACUGGUGCUGUAUUCUAUUAUUCCUGUCCCAACUAAUGAACCAUACCAAAUUGAUACGUAGCCGUUCUUUAUUUGACUGCUAACAUCAUCCUAUAUGUUCUGGAUAAUGCAGUGUUGCUUGCUGUCUACUCAUUUCGCUGCAAGUAAGACAGUAAACCAAGGAACUGAACUGCACGCAGUGCUGGGUGAGUUAAAAUUGAUUGUUGCCGGAAAACCUCAACAGUCAAUAAAAGACCGUAUCUCAGGCACUUUAUUGCAGAUUAGCCGCUCUACUAUUGAUCUGGAGCAAAAGGUCCCAGACAAAGAUAAUUGCAUAGACAAUCCAAAAUCUUCUCUUUCUCUCAAUAUAUCUGGAGUCAGAAUGAACGUCUGUUUUUACUAUCUCGAGUUACUUUGUACCACUGCAAUGUCUUAUAAGGUAUUUUUGAAAAGCAUUCGCCCUCCUAAGAAGCGACCUGCACAGGGGACUAGUCAGAAAACUACCAAGAACGCUAAAGGAGCACAGAUAGUCAAGAUUAGUGUUGAACAGUGUGCUGUUUUGUAUGUUGGUGACAUGAUACUUGAAGAUAUGAGUAUACAAGAUCCAAAGCGUGUAAAUUUUGGUUCACAGGGUGGUCAUGUUGUCAUAAUCAAUGAUGCUGAUGGUUCCCCAAGGAUGGCCUAUGUCAACUCAACCAGCCUUCCAGAUCAUAAGCAUGUUAAUUUCUUCACUUCUAUUGAGAUUAAUCAAAUUGGUCUAUGUCUGAACAAGGAAAAGCAAUCCGUGCAGGUUGAACUUGGAAGAUCCAGAUUAACACAUAAAGAAGAUCUGCUUGAUGAUAAGCCUGUAGAGGAGGUUACGCUUUUUGAUGUGCAAAAGGUGAAGUUUGUCCGGCGCUCUGGUGGGUCAAAUGACAGUGCAGUCUGCGCCCUCAUAAAUGUAACAGAAGUAGCAGUUUGGUGGGAACCUGAUCCCUAUCUGGAGUUACUUGAAGUAGCCACUCGACUUAAAUCCAUUAUGCACAGGAUCAAGCACCAGAAUUCUGCUAAUGAGAUAAAAGAUGAUACAGUGUACACGGAUACUUUGGCAAAAAAGGAUUCACUCACAGAACAUGGCCAACAAGAAAAACCACAGAAGAAACAAGAAUUGGUUAUUGCCGUUGAUGUGGAAUCUUUGAAAAUUUCAGGUGAACUUGCUGAUGGAGUUGAAGCAAUGAUUCAUGUUGGAUCCAUUUUUUCUGAGAAUGCAAAGAUCGGUGUUUUAAUUGAAGGACUAGUAGUUAGUUUUUGCGGUGCACGGAUUUUCAAAUGCAGUCGCACGCAGCUAUCACGCAUCCCAGUUUCCAUUUCAGACAGCCUUCCCGAUAAGAAGUUGCAGUCUGCAGCUACAUGUGAUUGGGUUAUUCAAUGCCGAAAUGCUUAUGUCUGCCUGCCUUUUAGGUUGCAACUACGAGCUAUAGAUGAUGCAGUUGAAGACACAUUGCGGGCCAUUAAACUUAUUUCUGCAGCAAAAAUGUCUGUAUUAUUUCCUGAGAAGAAAUCUAGCGGUAGCAGUAGCAGCAGCAAAAAGAGCAAAUCAAAAUCAACAGAAUUUCGGUAUGUGAGGGUCAUUGUACGUGACCUCGUAGCAGAAAUUGAAGAAGAGCCUAUCCAAGGCUGGCUUGAUGAGCAUAUCGAUUUAAUGAAGAGUGUAUUUAAUGAGUCGACAGUAAGGUUGGAUCUGCUUGAUGAGCUUGCUUCAGUCAAACAUAAAGACUCUCCCAAGGCAAAAUUGGAUGGAUCUUCUUCUGAAAAGAACAAUGGAUGCCCUGAAGUGGAUGGUGAUGCUCCUGGUGUGUGUUCAUUUGAAAAACUCAGAGAGGAUAUAUAUAAGCAGGCAUUUCAAUCAUAUUACUUGGCAUGCCAGGCAUUGAAAGUAUCAGAAGGGUCAGGUGCAUGUUCUAGUGGCUUCCAGUCUGGUUUUAAGAUGAGUACUCGCAGAUCAUCAGUUAUGUCAGUCUGUGCAAAAGAUGUUGAUGUGAGCCUAUCAAAGAUUGAUGGUGGAGAUGAGGGAAUGAUUGGUUUUAUUAAAACUAUGGAUCCUGUUUGUGCAAAAAAUGAUAUUCCGUUUUCCCGGUUGUAUGGUAGCAAUUUUACUUUGAAAGCUAAAUCCUUAUCAGCGUACUUAAGAGACUACACAUUUCCACUCUUUUCUGGAACCUCUGCUAAAUGUAAUGGACGGCUUGUGCUGGCUCAGCAGGUUAGCAUUUGGUACCACGCUUUUUUUUUUCACUUACAGAUACUGUUAGCACAGUUUUAUUAGGGGUACUGUUAGCACAGUUAACUCACCCAUUGACGGUACAAAAAAUAAUAACUUGACCAAAUUAUGUAUAGUUGCAUUUGCUCCCCUUAUAUGUUAAGUACUCCACCAUGGUGCCUGCACUAGCGGAUUAAUGAUACUUCCUACACAACUUCUAUACUCCAAUUAUAGUUGUUUCUUUUUCUGGUGGCAGGCAACCUGUUUUCAACCCCAGGUUCGACAAGAUGUUUAUGUUGGGAAGUGGUGGAGAGUAAAUCUGUUACGCUCUGCAACUGGUUAUACGCCGCCGAUGAAAUCAUAUGUUGACCUACCAUUGCAUUUUCAGAAAGGGGAAGUAUCCUUUGGAGUUGGGUACGAGCCAGUUUUUGCUGAUGUGAGCUAUGCUUUUACAUGUGCUCUACGUAGGGCCAAUCUAGCUAAAAGAUGGUUUUUUGAGCGACCUGAACCCCCUAGAAGAGAACGCAGCUUACCAUGGUGGGAUGAUAUGCGGAACUAUAUUCAUGGGAAAUUUAGAUUGGAUUUUACCAAAACAACGUGGCAUCUCCCUGCUAAAACAAGCCCUUAUGAGAAGCUAGAUCAAAUGUUAAUCACAUCUGACUAUUUGGAAAUAUGUUAUGUGGAUGGUUAUGUCAGUCUGUAUUCAAAGUAUCUAAAGGUGUACCUAACAAGCCUAGAGAGCCUUGCGAAGAAAUGUAGUCUGGAAACUCCACAUCAUGAAGUAAUACCUUUCCUUGAAACCCCCUCCUUUUUCAUGGACAUUGCGAUUCAGUGGGGAUGUGAUUCAGGUAACCCAAUGGAUCAUUAUAUAUUUGCUCUUCCUGCGGAGGGCAAACCACGGGACAAAGUUCUUGAUCCAUUUCGCUCAACUUCUCUUUCACUGAAGUGGAGCUUUUCACUUAAACCUUCUACAACUGAACCUGUGAAGCAUCAGCAGAAUAUUCAGGCAGUUUCGAAUAAUUCACCGACUGUGAAUGUUGGAGCUCAUGAUUUUGUCUGGCUAAUGAAGUGGGUUAACAUAUUUUUUCUUCCUCCCCAUAAACUUAGACUGUUUUCCAGGUUUCCACGCUUUGGGGUUCCUAGAUUUAUACGGUCUGGAAACCUGCCACUUGAUAGAGUUAUGACCGAACAGUUUAUUCGUUUUGAUGCUUCACUAUUGCAGAUCAACAAUAUGCCGCUACAGGUUGAUGAUCCCGCUAAUGGAUUGACACUGCACUUUACAAAAUUUAGGCUUGAAAUUGCUUUCAGUCGUGGGAAGCAGAUAUUUACUUUUGACUGCAAGCGUGAACCUCUUGAUCUUGUCUACCAAGGCAUAGACCUGCACUUGCUGAAGGUAUCUAUCAAGAAAACUCCUGAACCAUCAAUUUCUAAGGAUGCUCAGGUAGAAAAUAAGAGCCUGCAUAUGAAAGCUACAGAUAGUCCUGGCAAAAACAAAACUAGUUCAACUGAGAAAAGCCGAGAUGAUGGAUUUUUUCUGUAUUCUGAUUAUUUCACAAUACGAAAACAAACUCCCAAAGCCGAUGCUGCUAGAUUAUCUGCAUGGCAGGAGGAUGGUAGGAAAAAAUCAGAAAUGCCAUUGGCCAAGUCUGAGUUUGAUGGGGGAGAGGAAAGUGAUCAUGCACAAUCAGGUAGUGAUGAGGAGGGAUUCAAUGUUGUAGUUGCUGACAGUUGUCAGCGAGUAUUUGUGUAUGGAUUAAAAAUUCUAUGGAAUCUGGAAAACAGAGCGGCUAUCGUCUCUUGGGUUGGUGAUUUAACCCAAGCAUUUCAACCUCCAAAACCAUCUCCUUCUCGCCAAUAUACCCAAAGAAAGAUUCUUGAGAAAAAACAGUCAACUAAAGAAGCUGAGAUGUCCAACGAUGGCACUCUUAGCUCUUCACCCUUGGCAUCACAGUCAUCAGAUCCUCCAAAACAAACCAAGAGUUCAGAACCACCUUCCAGCGGACCAAGCAAGCUAGAGUCAACAUCAACUAGUGAUACAGGUAUUCUUUUGUACAUGAAAUCCUUUUUUCCUCACUAAUUAUUUUUCUAUAUUUUUUACUUAUCCAGGAUUAAGAUGGUAAUUGCUUAUCAAACAGCAUAUUAUUGUCACACUGUUAAAUUUUCCAGCAUCUCAUUAAACUCUUGUAAAUGUCGGUAACAACAUUAAUAGUUUGCUUACUUUGACUAUUAGCUUAACUUGUGAUGUAGCAAUGAAGACCUCCAAUAGUAGUGAUUCCGAAGAGGAAGGAACAAGGCAUUUCAUGGUUAAUGUUGUCCAACCUCAAUUCAAUCUGCAUUCAGAAGAGGCAAAUGUGAGUAUACUCUGCCAGCAUGUUUCUCAGAUUAUAAUUUCCAAGCAGCACUUAGCAGUUCAACAAAUAUCAGGUUGUUUGUUCAAUGUAUAUUCUUCUAUUACUUCAGUCAUAAGCUUGCCAUGCAAUGAAUUAAUCUUUAUCUCCAUUCCUCUAGCAAUUGCCAACUUAUAGCAUAUAACAAGAUUCCAAAACUAACCAAUAGGAGAAAAUGACAGGCUUUCUAAAGCAAAAUCCAUAUGUAAAUUUGAAUUUCAAAUGAUUAUGUGGUGGUUUUCAUCAGCUGGAUAAUGAAAAUUCACAUUCAAAUUAUUCUAGAUCCAAUAUGUUUUCAAGAAAAAAUAUUGCCAAUAGACUCUGCUCGUAAGCUAAUGGAUUUAAUUGCAACUUUCCAAGCUCAUCUUUUGUUAUUCCUUAGUAGUAUCGUGGUGUUACCUGUGGGAGAUUUUUUUUUUCAGUAUUUGUUAUUUACACCUAAAUUUUAGUAGCACUUGUGAAUGCUGAAGUGACUUAAUUGCCUGUUCACUAACAUCAGGGUAGGUUUCUACUUGCUGCUGGUAGCGGGCGGGUCCUGGUUCGUUCAUUUCACUCAAUUGUACAUGUUGGUCAAGAAAUGUUUGAGAAAGCACUUGGUUCCAGCAAUGUAGCCAUUGGAGAGACCAGGCCUGAAAUGUCUUGGUCACGUUAUGAAGUUUCUGUAAUGUUGGAGCACGUUCAGGCUCAUGUCGCUCCCACCGACGUUGAUCCUGGUGCUGGUAUUCAGUGGCUACCCAAAAUCCAUCGUAGAUCAUCUGAAGUUAAACGAACUGGUGCUUUGCUUGAGAGGGUAUUUAUGCCAUGCCAAAUGUACUUCCGCUACACAAGGCACAAAGGAGGAAACCCUGAACUAAAGGUUCUUAAUGAUUUCAUUUUGGUUUGCACCUUCCACUGACCAUCUUUUGGCAGGUCAGUUAAAGUAGCUACUUUUUUUAUUUAAUGUUUCUGGUAAUGCAGGUCAAGCCACUGAAAGAGUUGGCAUUUAACUCGCCAGAUAUAACUGCUGGUAUGACAUCACGGCAAUUCCAGGUUAUGAUGGAUGUUUUGACUAACCUUCUCUUUGCAAGAGCCCCCAGGUAAAUCAUUUACCUUGCAAUGCUACCAGUACAGAUUUCAGUAUUAUUGAGACAAUUCAGCUUAGUUUUGGCAUUGACGGUUUCAUGAUUUAGAUUUCAUAUCAGUUAGCAUCAUUGAUUAUAUUGGUGAUUACAAUGGCUAAAGUUUAUUUCAUUAGCAUGUUGUCAUGUCAUAUUCCAAAACAUAUGCAUCAUUAGAUAUGAUCAUUUAUAUCAGUUAUACUUGGAAGAAACCUUAGCUCCUUUGGGAAUUUAUACUUUUCAUGUUCCCCUUUCGAGAAAAUCCAAUCAAUGUCAUUGACAAGCGCCCAAUUCCAAGAAAUGUCAUCGACAAGUGCGAAUUCUAUGAAAUGUCAUCAUACAAGCGACUUUGUCCUAGAAAUGCCAUCGCCGUUAGGGUUCCGUUUAGGGGUGGUAAUGGGUCAAGGCCCGUGGGUUCUUUCACAACCCAUCUCAACCCUUAAAUAUUUUUAGCACAAAAAACUACUAAAUUUCAGCCGUACCCUUUUUGGACCCAACCCUCACAUUUUCUAGGCUAAAAUGUUGGGCCCAUUACCACCCCUAGUUCCGUUAGCAGCCCUCCAUUAAGUGCUAUAACAUGAAUAAUGCAUUUAACGGGACAGGAUGGAUGAAACCCUAAUAGCGAUGGCAUUUCUGGGACAAAAUCGCUUGUACAAUGACAUUUUAUGGAACUCGCACUCAUUGAUGGCAUCUCUUGGACUUAGCUGUUUGUCAAUAGCAUUUCUUGGAUUUUUUUUUCGUAUUUUAGUUUCUGUAAAUUGGAUUCAACUGUAGACUUCAUUGGAUAAUUGAUAUGUUAGGUACUAACUAUAGUCUAUUUUUCAGAACUAAGAAGAGCAACCUAUCCUAUCCCCUGGAUAAUGACGAUGAUGAUGACACUGGUGAAGAGUCUGAUGCAGUUGUACCAGAUGGAGUGGAAGAGGUAGAAUUAGCAAAGAUUGAUGUUGAAAUAAAAGAAAGAGAAUGGAAGAUACUGCUCGAUGAUAUCAGAACUUUGUCUGUUGGUAGUGAAAUAUCUGCUGAUGAGACCCAAACCCCAAAGUCUGAUGAUGCUACAUGGAUUGUUACUGGAUCAAGAGCAAGUCUGGUACGCUGCAGAGCAACCUUAGUUACUUAUGUUUAAAUCCUAAUUUGCAUAAAGUUACUUUUUGUUGCAAUGAAUUUUAUUCUCCUGUAAACUGUAAUGGAUAGUUAAUGUCUUAGUUCAUAUUUGCUUUAGUCAUGAAACAGAAUUUAGGAUCCCAUUAUCAUAAUAUAAAUAAAAUAAUUUCCUUUUAUGUCGCUGAAUCUAUUGUGAUGUCUUACAUAACAUCUGCCAGGUAAAAUGUCUGAAGAAGGAACUUGUUAAUGUUCGCAAUGGUAGGAAAGAGGUAUCUUCUAUGCUGAGAGUUGCUAUGCACAAAGCUGCACAAGCAAGGUUAAUGGAAAAGGAAAAGAACAAAAGCCCUUCAUUUGCUAUGCGAGUUUCACUGAAGAUAAACAAGGUUGUCUGGAGCAUGUUAGCCGAUGGAAAAUCAUUUGCUGAAGCUGAGAUAAAUGAUAUGGUAAUUUAAUUCAUCUCCAGUGAAGCAUAAUCUUGAUUUUAUCUUCUGAUGAUACAUUGGAGUAUUUAGUUUAAUUUAAUAUGGAGAAUAAUUAUCGUUAUUUUCUUCAUCAAGUAGACAAAUGUACAUGCCGUCCUGCUCUUGCACUAACUUCCCUCUUUUUUUAUCCCUAAAUCUGCAGAUUUAUGAUUUCGACCGGGACUAUAAAGACAUUGGCAUUGCUCAUUUGACAACCAAGUUGUUUGUUCUCAAAAAUGGACUUGCUAAUGCAAAAUCAGAUACUGUUCUGGCACCAUGGAAUCCACCUUCCGAAUGGGGCAAGUAAGGACACUAAUAUUUUUCCGUUACAUGGUGUAUUUGGAUGUUCAACAUAUGAUACUUGUGAUCACAACUUUGUUUUUACAAAAUUGAAAUGCUGCAAUAAGUACUCUCUCUGUUCCAUAUAACAAGUCAUUUUGGGUUUGUCCUAAGCCAAACGUCUUUAAGUUUGACCAAGUAUAUAGGGAAAUGUAGCAACAGUUCCAACACAAAACAAAUAUACUAUAAAAAUAUAUUCGGUGGUGGAUUUAAUGAAACUAAUUUGGUGUUGUAGAUGUUAAUAUGUUUUUCCAUAAACUUGGUUAAACUUGAAGAAUUUUGACUUACGACACCAAAGUGACUUAUAAUAUGGAAAGGAGGGAGCAGACACCAGACAGUAUCUAAUUUUGGCAACCUAAUUUUUUUAGUUUCUGUACAUUAGAUGCUUCUUUCAUACUAUAGCAAACAUUAUUAAGAUGCUAGUAUUACAUUUUCUCUUCAAGUGGUAUUCAGGGUUUGCAUUUUUAACAAUAAUACGAAAUAGAUGCCAUUUCACAGAGCUAUCUUAAGAUACUGUAAAAAAUAUAUAAGACUCAGUUACCAAUCUGUGACAGUUCAUGGGCAAUAUUUGCCAACUCUACCUUCUCUUUAAUUAAGCUGGCUAGAAGUACAAUCCAAUAAGAAACUUCUGCUUCAUGAAAAGGAAAGUGCACGCUAAUUCUGUAGCCCAGCUUGAUAGGGCAUACUUACAAUACAAGGAUGGUGGUAAAUAGCAUGACUAGGGUCUGAUCUUUGUUUUACAGUUUACAUCAUUUCAUAUUUUCUCCUUCAUAUAUUCAUUUAACACAUAUAUUCUAGCACUGACCAAACUGCUGCUUAACUAAUUUUGAACUCAGAAAUGCAAUGCUGCGUGUUAAUGCUAGGCAAGGAGCUCCAACUGGUGGUAACUCAGUAAUAGAGAGUCUCCUCGUAAGUUCUCUCUCUCUCUCUCUCUCUCUCUCUCUCUCUCUCUCUCUCUCUCUUAUGACUAAUUCCUAAUGCAUGUAAUUUUUGUAGGAUUUUUUCUUCUUAGGGCUGAGGCUAUGAUUUUAAGUUUUAUUUGCUUCUAUAAUUUUUGUAUCAGAUUAAUAUUAUGAAUAAGCAUUAGUCCGGUGUAACAGUACACUUAAUGGUCACUUUUGGCUUUAUGCUUACCUGCAUGGUGAAUGACUGCGGCUUCCUUUUACCCCCAUUACUGUAGGUAGACAUCUAUCCACUGAAAAUUUAUUUGACUGAAGCAAUGUACAGAAUGAUGUGGGGAUAUUUCUUCCCUGGUGAUGAACAGCACCCACAAAAGCGGCAGGUUAAAUCAUUUCAUGUUCUUUGUGCUAUGAUUUUUCCAGUUCUAGUUAUGCACUAAUGCUUCCUCCACUGUUACUUAUCUAGUAUAUUUGUGCCAUUCCUUUUUCAUCAAUAGGAACUUUUCAAAGUCUCCACAACAGCAGGGACACGGCGAGUAAAGAAAAGCACAUCUAUUGCUGAAACGAACAGUCCCAGUAAACAAUCAUCGAAAGACUCCAUGCUUUUACAAAAGCCUGAACUUCGACGCACAUCUUCGUUUGACAGGACGUGGGAGGAAACUGUUGCUGAAUCUGUAGCUAAUGAACUCGUUACACAAUUUCAGAGUCAGUCAAAUGCGCCGCCUGAAUCUCAAGAUGCUCCUAAGGAAGCCAAAUUAGUACGAUCUGCUCGCUCUACUCGUGAAGAGAAAAAAAAUAUGGACCCUAAUGAGGUGAAACAAACUAGACCUCAGAAAAUGAUGGACUUCCGCAACAUAAACAUAAGUCAGGUCAGCAUAUACUUUGCUGAAUGUUUUUCUGUUUAUACAACCAGCUGAAAUAUUGUAUACAACCUGCUGAAACAAUAGCCAUUUUCAUUUUGUUUUUCGCUAACUGAAUGAAAUAUCACUGUUUCAUCUGUAUAACAUGAAUUUGGUUCUCGAUGAUGUUCUAGGUUGAAUUGCAGCUCACGUACGAGGGAUUGCCAUUUGCUGUUAGUGAUGUAAGACUACUAAUGGAUACCUUUCAUCGUGAAGAUUUUACUGGAACAUGGGCGAGACUGUUUUCACGAGUAAAGAAACACAUUAUAUGGGGAGUAUUGAAGUCAGUAACUGGCAUGCAGGCAAGUUGUUUUCAUUUUUCUUUAUAACUUGUGAAGCUAAAACGGCAUUUUACUUUUCAAAUUCUAAGGAAUUAAAACAGCAUACCAUGCAAAUCUUGUAUAAAUUGAGAGCUCUAAGUGUGUGGAGUUAACCCUUUGACUAGACAUAACUUGUCUCUUUUACAGGGUAAAAAAUUUAAAGCUAAAUCCACUAGCCAAAAAGAGCCAACUGCAAGUUUAAUCGCUGCCAGUGAUUUUAAUCUAAGUGACAGUGAUGGCGAUGAAGCUGGUGGUUCUGAUCAACUGCCAGCAUUCCUUAAAAAACCUAAUGAUGGAGCUGGUGAUGGAUUUGCCACUUCUGUUAAGGGAUUAUUCAGUUCACAACGAAAGAAAGCAAAGGCAUUUGUCCUGAAGACUAUGAAAGGUGACGCUGAUCAUGAUUUCCAGGGUGAAAGGAGUGAGAAUGAAAUUGAGUUCUCUCCAUUUGCUCGACAAUUGACUAUAACAAAAACAAAGAAGCUUAUACGACGGCACACAAAGAAGAUUAAAUCCAAAGUUCCUAAAGGUGCAGGUGAGAUACCUUUUAUUUGUUUCAAGGAAGUGAUACUAAAUUGUUGAUAAGCUGAUUCUACCUGACACCCUUAAAUAGAUGGAGAUAAAGAUAGGCAAAGAAAAAGGACUGGUUGUCACUGUCACUUAAUUGCAUUCCUUGUUCUUACCCUUUCUUGGAACUUGAAAGAGAAGAGCCGUUUUUUUUUUAAAAAAAAUUGCUUAAUAAGAACAUAUAUCAUGCAUUUGUUUGUGUAUGAACUAUGAAGUUGGGAAAAUUGCAUCGACAUUCACCCACGCACACGCAGAGAGAAUUGCAAAUUUACCUUUUAGUCUUUCUACAAGCGGACUCCUGGAAAAUUUACUUAAGGUCCCAAGAUCCAAGAUCCAAUGUCCCUUGAAAAUAUUUUAGAUUAUAUAUAUAUCCUUGAACAAGGAAAUACCUCUGGUGCAAUGUAGCGAAAAUUCAUUAAGCCGCUGGGACGUAUCUGCCCUUCUUGGAGCAUUUCAGUUAUUCAGUACUACUUCUGAGUUCUAACAUACGUUCGUCCUCUUGUUCAGCUACUUCGCAAGAACUCGGGUCAGAGCUGCCACCUCGUGGCCCUUCUGGGAACCAGACGGACUCCUCCUCUUCCGAUGAUAACGAUUCAUCGCCAACGGAAACGAACCCAAAAGAUUAAGCCAGCACCGGCUCAGAACAAUUGGCUCUGAGCCUGGUGUCCAUUCCAGCUUCGGGUCAGCACAUCUUGGCGAUGGGUCGAGAGCUACGAGGCAUUUGAAUUUUGAGAAGAUUUUGUAGUAGGUGUUUUUCAGCAAUUCUUUUUACCCCUCAUGGAUGGAGAUUUGAAAUAAGUGGUACUAGCAAGUUAUCUGUCAUGUAGGCGACUGGUAGACAAGCUUACGGAUCUCAAAUGUGUAGAUCGAGAGUUUAUGGGCCUAAGCAAACUAAUUUGUGAAGUUUAGAGACCUAUAUAGUGUAUUUUACUCUAGAUAUAUUUUUUAUUUUCUCUUACUACACUUUUAAUCGAAGAAUGUUAUUAAUUUCUUCUGUUCCAAGAAGAUGAAGUAAUCCUGACUUUGUGCCAGAUAUAGCCAUUGUUUACCUUAGUUUGCCUUCUAAAACAAACUACCCGCAUGAUUAUAUAUGUUGCAUCAAUUCCCAGUUUGUCACAGGCUCACAGCUCUCAACUACUGAGAGCAACUGAGCAAGCAUAAACUGGGUUCUGACUUCUGAACCACUAUUCCAGUUAAAACUUCUCAAAAGAGUUUCAGAAAUGUCUAUAAAAUAUUAUGUUGGAGACAACUGUAUGAAACUUUGAGAUUAAACUCAACUUCGUGUAUGAUAUCUGAAACUGAAAGAAAAACAAAAAAAAAAUUAGAAGCUUCCCUUAACUGCAAGGAGGGUGCAGCCUAAGAGUAGCCCGGGUUGGGCCUGAUGGACUAAUGUAAUGGGCCUCUCCUGGACCGGCCCACGAGCUGGCAACAACCAGGUAGGUAUAUAAAGGGAUAGUUCACUAUGACUCCCUUAACUAAUGAGCCAAUCUGAUUCAUAUCCUUAACUAUUAAAACAGUGCCACAUAUCAGGUCAAAACUAUCACGUAAACGUGACGGCAGCAAAACCAUUCUUCAAAUUGCACUGGUUUUAAUAAUUGGAGGUCGAGAUAUUCAGUUGAAGGAUACUCAGAUUCAGUCAUUAACAAAGUAAAAUGGACUUAUAUGGAUGCAAGUGGAGCGAGCAAGCGGGUUUUUUAGCCCGCUUAUCUCACUUCUAGUUUAUUUUUUCUUCUAAAUUUUAUACUAAGAAAUAAACUAGUAAGCGGGUUUUUAUGCGGGCAGUGGGACUACCAACUUGCAUCCUGUAUAAAGGCCACGCAUCUCUGACACGCGCGCGCGCGAAAAAAAAAAGAGAGAGAGAGAAAAGGGAAAAUAGAAGGGAUAGAGGAAACCAUGGAUCCGAAUCGGCGGCGCCGCUUCCCGACGACGUCCUCGAGGAGAUCUUCCACCGCCUUCCGGCCGUCGUGGCGCCGCCUCCUCUCGCGACCGCCCGGGCAGCAGCGCCCGCGCGAUACCACCACCACCACCAAGUCGUCGUUCCUCUUCGUGUGCAACCCCGCGACGCGGGAGGUCGCCGCGCGCUCCCCCCCCCCCCCCCCCAGGGUCGACGGCUUCGACGUCAUGGGCCUUCUACCUCCACGCGUCCACGCCCGAGUACCGCGUCCUCUCUUCUGCAGGACGCGGAGGACGGUGGUGAAGCGCUCGCCCCCAAUGGCCGAGUACCGUGCGUGUAGUAGACCGCACGUACGCCGUGGCGGCGGCGAGGCUGCUGGCGGCACGCGGCCAAACGGCGACGUGUACCUCACCUCGGACUCGUCGUGACAUGAUCACCCGCCGAUGACCCUGCGCGGCUCUGCCUCCACUGGGAGUCUGGAACGUCCGGGCGGAGGAGUUCCGCACCGUGGUGGGUGUUCGACACGGCGGCGGAGGAGUUCCACACGAUGCGCGGGCCGUGCGACUACUCCGGUACUCCCAACCCAAGACGCGGACUGGACCGGGCAGCUCAUCGGAGUAUAGGGCACCAUGGCCGCCUCGUCGUACGACGGGGUGGUGGCGCUGUGGCUGCUCUGGUACUACGACGAGGAGGCAUGGGAAUGCGUGUGUACCCGAGUCGCCGCCGGGUUCCUCGAUCGGCGACGUGGCAGGGACGAUGGGGUUCUUCGUCGCCCACGUGAGCGACGACGGCGGCGGCGGGGACGCGCUCGCUGCUCCUCUCAUCUCAGGGGCAUCGGUACGGAGUUUACAACCUCAGGAGGGGCGAGGUGGUGGCCGCCGGCAGGGAGCUCGGCGGCGGCGACGACGUCAUCCUCGCGACGCAGUAUGUUUACCAGGAGAGCUUCGCUUCUCCAGUGGCCCGGAGAGGCGUCGGCGACGGCGCUCCGUCGCCGCGAGGAGAACUGGCCGCCGGCGCCGGCGAGGCGUCCUCUUCGAGCUUGAUCAGAAAUUCUCCAGGAUUUUAUGGAGUUCUAAUCUUUUCUUUACUUUCUUUAAAAUAUGGUAAUGGUUGUUCAUGGUCCUCCGUAUAGUGGCAUGUGUGCUUGCCAGAUAUGUGUGUAAUUUUCAUCUAGUAGUGGAUUAAAAAUUUAAAAUGGUUACAUUUCGACCAUCCUGAUGAUGCUUAUCAAUUGGCCUUGAUCAGCAGUCUGAGAUUAAACAAAUUUGUUUGUUUUUUCUAAGCACUACAGUUUUCAUUGAAAAUAUAUUUCUUUUCUACCAAGAAGAUGUGAAGUGAUCCUGACUUUGUAAGAGAUAUAAGACAUAACCGUGUACUAUUCAACCUUAGUUUUGGUGUUUCUCAAACAGACAACUAAGAGCAAACAUAAACCGGGCUUUAAAGUGUAGAACAUCCAGGUAUAGUACCUGUAAUGGUCGUAAUCCAUUGUAAAUUUGGCGAACACUAUGGAUAUCAUCUAAUCAUCAUGUAUAUGGAAGUCUUUAAAAAUUUUAUAGAAGCCUUACAUAUAGAAAAUAUCAGUGGAUUUUUACGAUUAAACUCUCGCUCUAGUCAAAUAUAUUUGACUUUGCAUCGAAUAUAUUUCACUGGAGGGAGUAUGUGAAAAUUGUCAAAAAAAAAAAAACAAAGGAAUUGCCAUAGCUGCCUCUGCCGAAAUGCCGAGGAAAUUCCAAUGGCUUGGUUUGAUGCUGUUUGCGGCUAUUAAAAACUCUAAGGCUUGGUCAUAUGCUCCCUACCGGGGAAAAAAUGAAUUACCUAAAAUGUAAAACUUGAAGAAUUCAGGUACCGAUUUGAAAUUUCAUUGAGCUCAGGGUGCGUUUAUUUCUUUGGGUGUAAAGUUUUCAAAAUAUACGGACGUACAUUUGAAGUAUUAAAUGUAGACUAAUAACAAAAUAAAUUACAGAUUCCACCCUGCUGUGAGACGAAUUUAUUAAGCCUAAUUAAUCUGUCAAUAGUAAAUAUUUAUUGUAGCAACACAUUGUCAAAUUAUAGCGUAAUUAGGCUCAAAAGAUUCGUCUCGCAAUUUACAUGCAAAUUGUAUAAUUGAUUUUUUUUAUAUUUAAUGCCUUAUGUAUGUGUCCAAACUUUUAAUGUGAUGUUUUUAGCUAAAAUUUUUUGAUCUAAACGAGCCCUCAAUGCUUCAGUUGGCUUGAAAAAGAAAAAGAACCCUAAAACGAUUGACCAAAACAGCACUACAGAAGAAAUUAAAGGUGGUUUUGAUCUAAUCAGCUAAUUCCUUUUUCUAAUAAAUGGAAAUCUAAUCAGCUGGAGUAAUAAUUGUGCUGGUCGAUGAAUCCCCAGCUGUUCUCUGCAAGACAUGUACAAGCCAAAGUAGAACCCAUCUUGAUUUUUUCUGCAGAUGCAAGAUAAGAGUAGGCAGGAUCGAUCGACCAGCUGAUCCGGAAGCUGCCGCGGCGUAGGCUAGCUGUACAGACAGUGCGUGCCGUGCAGAGGAGAUAGCCAAGCGGACCCUCUACAUGGUGCAGGAGUACUACCUACGUGGAUCUAAUGCCCAGACUUCUUGUCAUUCGAUCGUGUGAUCUGCCCAGACAUGCUUAUGCACUCGCAGUCUUCUUUGUUCGCCCUGUACUACUACACUACUCCCAUUUCAGAGCAUAUAUUUAGAUCCUCUAGCAAAUUUUUUUAGCAUAUCACAUCGAAUAUUUGGACACAUAUAUAGAGUAUUAAAUAUAAAUUAAAAAACUAAUUAAAUUAUAUGUAAUAAAUUGCGAGACGAAUAUUUUAAGCCUAAUUGCUCCAUGAUUUGAUAAUGUAAUGCUCCAGUAAAUAUUUGCUAAUGACGGAUUAAUUAGGCUUAAUAAAUUCAUCUCGCAAUUUGCAGGCAGAAUCUGUAAUUUGUUUUAUUAUUAGUCUACGUUUAAUGCGAAAGGGCAUGUAGCCUAGUAGUUGCAAUGACCUGAGUAGCAUCCCAAGGUCCUGAGUUCAAAUCUCCAUAUGAGCGAAUUUCAGAUUGGGUUAUUUGAAGGCUAAGUUCCUAAAAUAAGCCAAAAUGGCUACAUAUAUCCGGUUGGAUAUAUUAUUUCAGAUUGGAUUAUUUGAGAGCUAAGUUCCCUAUUUGAUAUGCUAAAUUCCUAAAAUCAAAAUGGCUGCAUAUAUCCAGUUGGAUAUAGAGGCCGGACAAAAAAAAAUACCCUUCUCUAAAAAAAUAGUCUACGUUUAAUACUUUAAAUGCCUUACGGCGUGCAUGUUUAAUUCGAUUUACCACACAUAGACACACCGUACUCCAGUUCAAACCUGUGUUAGUUUUUCAAACUUCAAAGUUCAAGAAUACUAGUAGUGGUCACCUGUUGUAGUAGUAUACUAGUACCACGCAUACAUGAUCACACAUUUGAAGUAUUAAAUAUAGACUAAUAACAAAACAAAUUAUAGAUUCCGCCUGUAAACUGCGAGACGAAUCUAUUAAGCCUAAUUAAUCUGUCAUUAGCAAAUGUUUACCGUAGCACCACAUUGUCAAAUCAUGGCGUAACUAGGCUUAAAAGAUUCGUCUCGCAAUUUAUAUAUAAACUGUGCAAUUGGUUUUUUUCGUCCACAUUUAAUGCUUUAUUUAUGUGUUCAAAUAUUUGAUGUGGCAGAAAAGUUGAAAGUUUGUAGGAAAAUAAAACCCAGCUAGUUCUUGCAAACAUUGUGCUAGGAUAGGACAGAUUACAAACAGCAACCUUUUUUUCUUCUUCUUUUGCUCUUUUGGCGCAGGGUACGCUGCUUCUUCUGCUAGACAGACUGCUACGUGCUACCACUACACAGCUGGGCCCCGUUCCUCUCGCGGAGGCGGAAACGACCGCCACGCGAGCGAGCAGCGGAGAGCGGAGAGCAGAGAUGCUUGCCGUUUGCGGCUAGAGACCGAGCGAGCAAUUCAAGCUUUUCCCUUACCACCACGCACCCAUGCCUACACGUGGCUUGUCCCCAAAAUUUAACAAAUUUAUCCUUUUAAAAUACUUAAUUCAAAACUAGCACAAUUUUAUUUAGAAAUUGAUCCCCCAAAAAUACAAGAUCUUAGUGCCAACCGCCCUUAGGCCCUGUUUGGAUCUAUAGACUAAAUUUUAGUCCCUGUCAAAUAGAAUGUUUGGCCACUAAUUAGAAAUAUUAAACGUAGACUAAUGACAAAACCCAUUCCAUAACCCUGGACUAAUUCGCGAGACAAAUUUAUUGAGCCUAAUUAAUCAAUGAUUAGCCUAUGUGAUGCUACAAUAAAUAUGUGCUAAUUAUGGAUUAAUUAGGUUUAAAAAAUUUGUCUUGCGGAUUAGCUCUUAUUUAUGCAAUUAGUUUUAUUAUUAGUAUACGUUUAAUACUUCUAAUUAGUGUCAAACAUCCAAUGUGACAGUGACUAAAAUUUAGUCUCUGAAUCCAAACACCACCUUAGUGCUGAAGCACCCAAUAUCAACAACAGUGACAUGACACCACGGUGCCUAACCUGAUCGCGCCAGUGACGGGCGCUAAGGUUGGAGACUUAGCUACGCGCCAAUGGCUCGUGAAACACAACUCCUAUGUUGGGUGGCACCGAGGUGCCCAACCUCAACACCAUUAUGCUUGCGCCUAGGUUGUCAACCUCAACGCCAACCAUUUUUACAUUGAGGUUCUAGAUCUAGCUUGGUUCCAGAAAGCUCUCCACUUAAGUAUCCGAGCACAUACCGUAAACAACAAAUACCCUCUCCACAUCUCACAAGUCACAAACAUCAACAAAUGCUAAAAUAUAAGCCAUCUCAUCAUAAACGUAUCAAACACAAUCUCAAGUCAAAUGCGAUGAACCUUAUACCAACUCAAUCCCUAUGAAAUCAGGGUUUUAGAAGGAGUUUGCGUUGUAAAUCGAUCUUCAACUCAAUCCUCGCGAAGGUGUAUGGCGCUGAGGUCCUAUCACGACGGCGAGUCGGGUGUCACAUGGGCUAGGGGUCACGACUAACCUUUUUUGUGCUGAUCCAUACGACCUUGGUACCGAGGUGGUUGAUGUAAGGAAAAUUUUUUAAGUGGUCUAAUUUUGAAACAAGUUUUUUAAAAGGACCAGUUUAUCAAAAUUUCGGUGGUUUGUCCUGGAGCGCUCACACGCAGAGGGGGAGGAUGAGAGAUGCGUGUGUCCGGUGGGCGCGGCCGAUGCGGGCGUGUCAGGUCAGGUGGGCCCGAUGGGAAGCGACACGCUCGAAGCGGUGUUUCUUCCGUUGGUGUGCAAGCGCGUCUCAUCAGACACGCACGCAGAGCGCGCGUGGGUUGGGGGACCGGGGUUACCGGUGUGGUAACCUUACCAACCACGCUGCCACCGUACGUACGGACUACUACGCAGGCAAUGCAUGCAAGGUGUACUUGAUCACCAAUCAGAAAUUCGAUCAGAUAUUCCCAGGUUAACCCCACACCUACCCACCUACCCACCUACCCCUACCACACAUCAGUGAUCAGUCAAGAAAAAACACUCCAGUACAGUGCAUGGUUAACCAUUUAACCCAACCCGGGUUUGGUUUGGCCACACAGCCGCGCGCGAAAGAGCUAGAGAUACGAUUAGAAAAGAAAAAAGAAGUAGUAGUAGAAGAAGAAAAACAAAAAGGAAAAAAGCGAUGUAUGCAGCGUUGUUUAGGUUGCUCUACCUUUUGCUUUUUACUUUUGGGGGCGCUGAUCGCGAUGGAGAUGCAGUGCAUGCAUGACCGGCCGCUUGGACGCAUUUGCAUGUAUGCAACGCAGUAUCGUACGUCUCGAUCGCUAGAGCUAAAGCUGCCUUUAAUUAAUUUCGCCGGAAUUAAUGGCAGCUGCAACGGCCGGUCUGUCAUAUGCGAUCUGUGCAGAGAGACCAAGAGCUAGCGAUCCAAACUUCGAACGCAUGCAACGUCUAGUUAGCACGCCCAUACAUGCAUGAGUUCGCUAUGGUUUCUCAAUUUUAGUUAGUAACUAAUUACUCCCAGUAAUCUCUACUAGAUGGCUAGCGAGAAAGAUGUAAUAACGUGUGCAUGCAUGCGGUGCAUGUGUGGAGGGUUAAUUAAUUAAUUGGCCGGUGCCGGUGAUGAACUGAUGAUGAGACCGAUAUUCUUUAAUUAGUUUGAUAAGUACACAUGAACAUAAUGUGUGUGUGUGUAUCCAUGCAUGCAUGCAUGGCCGAUCGCUUUUAUGUUACUACAAUAUUGUACACUUGUACAAGGCAUAUAUUAAGGCGCGUGUCAAAGAAAUUUUCAUCGUUCCCCUCCCCUAGUAGUAGUAGUAGAAGAAGAAUAAGAUAUUUUCAUCGUAUGUGACACGUACGGUACGUGCAGCUGUGCAUAUGCUGCCAUGCAUACAUGGGUUCAUGUAGAAGAGACUACACCUAGCAAUUAAUCGUGCCAGACCGUAUCUUUAUUCUUUCCGAUUCAUCUUGGAAUGGAGUGCCUUCGUCGUUUCAGCCAGUUUAAAUUUUUGCCCACACUGCUCCACACACUUUGUCCUGCCCCUGCCUAAAGGAUGCAUUGGCAUAUAUCAGUAUAUAUAUCACACAAAAGAAAAUGCCAAUUAUCAAACAUAUAUUGCGAGAUCUAUUAGAUAAUAUCCGUGGAUAGAUAAUUAGCAGCAGCUAGCUAGCCAGCUUUGUGGUUAGUACACAUAUAAUUUGUUUGACAGAACAAAACUAAGUAAUUAAUUUUGAUAAAUUAAAUAUGGUAACCACUGUACGUCUUCUGUAUUUUAUUAGUCAAUUAUAUGAAUUUACACUGUGAUAUUUUAUUUUUACAGUGACAAAUUGUAUAUGGGGUGCUGUUUUUAUAACAGAUGGGGCCCAUGACAUGAGAAAGAUGCUAGUACGUUUUUUAUGCUUUAGGUAACAUGCUUUAAAUAACAGCUAGUGUUUGAUUCAGGGGUUGAAAAAACAAUUAAUCGAAAACCACUCGAUUAAUCGGCCAGAUUAACUACCCCUAUUAAACUUAAUUAAUCGCAUGAUCCAUUUCAAAACCUGGUAACAAGUUUUGAACACCUUAAUCAUCAUUCAUAAUCAUCACUCUUCCCUACAUAAAAAGAAUACAGUCACCGCGAGUGGUAAGAUUACCUCGGUCCCCAUCUGCCCCUCUCGAUCACCUGUCUAGGGUUUCUAGAAUCUAGUUAACCUCAAGAAAAGCAAGCACUACGACUCCCCCUUCCUUUCUUCCAGCCUCGCCUCGCGCUCACCUCAUCACCUCUGGGUUUUUUCUUCCUUGGCCUCUCUUACCAUGGCUUGCCAUGUCCUUCUCCUCUAGUAGUCUAGUUUACCCCCACCCUCGCGCUAGUUCCUCUCUGCUUUUACCUUCACCCCCUUCUCUGCCAUGGCCUACGACCGAGGAGGGGGCCGUGGCGAGCAGCAGCCGCGGUACGGCGACCCUGCAGGCUGCUCCGCGCCCGGGGAAGGAGGCGGCGGCGAACCCAUGGCGCCGUAUCGUCCCACUGCCACCGGCUUCGUCUGGGCGCCGCUGCGCAUGUCGGGCCGUCCACAGCAGCACGAGCCCCCGCCGAUGGUCGACGUCGUCGUCUACUACGGAGCAAGGGCGGCCAUCCCGGCGCCGCACGAUCAGGCCGCGUACGAGCUCGGCGGCGCGGUCCUGUGGCGAUCGGCUCCUCUCAUGGAGGAGUCCACGCUGCCUCCACCCGCUGCGGCUGGUGGCGAGGCGGUGGCGGUGGCGGCGUCGGACAUCGAUCCGGUGCGGCCGGGCUGUGGGGCGUCCAAUGGGAAGAAGGUGAUGAUCGAGGAGAACGACCUCUUCUGUGACGUGAGCUCCUCCUCCUCCUCCUCCUCCCCCUCCUCAUCCUCCUCCUCCUCAUCAUCCUCCAGAUCUACGUAUGCUGCCUUCUCCUCGAUCGAUCCAGUUGUAGAUGUUGCCGCGCGCUGUCUAGUAGCA
rnacentral:lncRNA from 1 species